AUAAGCACCGGCUAAUUUCGUGCCAGCAGCCGCGGUAAUACGAAGGGUGCAAGCGUUAAUCGGAAUUACUGGGCGUAAAGCGCGCGUAGGUGGUUUAUUCAGUCAAAUGUGAAAGCCCCGGGCUCAACCUGGGAACUGCAUCUGAUACUGCUUGACUAGAGUAUGGCAGAGGGCGGUGGAAUUUCCUGUGUAGCGGUGAAAUGCGUAGAUAUAGGAAGGAACACCAGUGGCGAAGGCGACUGCCUGGACUGAUACUGACACUGAGGUGCGAAAGCGUGGGUAGCAAACAGGAUUAGAUACCCUGGUAGUCCACGCCGUAAACGAUGUCGACUAGCCGUUGGGAUCCUUGA
rnacentral:rRNA from 1 species